rnacentral:lncRNA from 1 species
UUAGGGUUUCUCUAAGAAAUCAAUCCCCAAGAACAAGAAAUCCUACGUGUUUGAUUCCAAGUCAAGAAUUCAAGUUUUCCUACGCCGAUCUUCAAUAAAUCACUCAGCCCAGGUAUGCAUAGUGUUCAUUCAUGGACUCCUUUCAUCCAUGAAGACCAAGAAUCUCUUUUCAAAGUUUAAGUGUAUGAAUUUUUAUGAAUACCAUAUUGGGUUUGUUCUUGUUCAUGUUGAUAAUGAUCAAUUAAAUUCUAUUCCAUGUUUAGUGAUAAAUCUUAAGCGGAAUUAAUUAUUAUAGGUGUAGCUUCAUGUGAAUCCAUGAUAAAACCCUUGAAUGGUGAAAUUAAAGUUGAUUCAUGAUGUUUACCUGUUGUAUGAUGUUGUCUACAUAUACCAUGCUCACCAUGUAUUUGAUUAAAUGCCUAUGUGAAGGAAAAGUGCCCUACUAGUAUGAUAAUAGGAGAUCCCUUUUCAUUUACAAUUUCAUGCAUGUCAAGUGUUUGAUGAAAUGCCUUAGUCAAUGAAUUAUAGAAGUAUGUGUGGCCAUUGAGGUGCUUUAGAACUUGUACCUUAUGUAUUCUCCAAUUUAUUAUAUUAUAGACUCAUGAUGUGAUUAUGUAUUCAAGAAAAGUCAUGAGUUGUCAGUUUUUUCUCAUCGAGUCCUGGGGGUACUUGUACCCGAAAAAUAUAGUUGCGUACCUAGAGCCAGUGUCAUGUUUUCACGAUAUUCUCAGUCAAGCCAUGUUCAAUAGACUUUAGUCAGUCUCACGACUCAGAAAAAUCUCAAAAAUCUCAUGAACUCAGUUAGUUAAUUAGGAUUCAGUAAUAUUCCAUUAGUCAACGGAAUGCAGUGAUCUUAAUCUAGUUUAGUCAGUAUCCAUGUUCAGUGUCUAUUCAAAUGGGAGUAGAAAUUAGCACUGAGCGAACCCAAGGAUGGGAACUCACCUGGCAGUUUAAGGUGUGAUUCUUAGAAGCAAUCUUUGUGUUCCAGAACUAUGUAGCCAGCGUAGGCUGAGACAUCUAACCUAUCAAUUUAGGGUUGAUGGGGUGUAUUAACCUGUCAGUUUAGGAUUCCCACCAUUCUCAUUUCGAGUACCUGCCAGUAUAGGGUCCUCACAACUUGUCCUUACCAGUGGCGCGGUAUUUACGUCCUUCCAAUCAAGACAGAGAUUGGACCCUAACUUAGCCUUAUUGCUUAAUUGGGGCAUGUCGGUUAUAUGACUACUUCCACAGUUUCAGUAUCAGUCUCAGUAAAGGAACUCAAAUAGUUCUUCAGAUUUUAGGACUGUUAGAUACAGUCAACUCAGAUAUAGUAUAGAACUCAGAUAGUUCCAUCAGAUUUAGGACUAUCAGAUACAGUCACCCAUGUUAUCAGUUAUAUCAGUCAUGUUAGCCAUUAGUACACAUAUGUUAUCAGUAUAUAGACUCAGUUAUCAUGUUCUCACGAUUUUAGUUACUAUGUAUUCAUGCAUGUAUUCUCACGGUCAUAUUAGUCAGUCAGUUAGUAUUGUUCUUUCAUAUGAACCACAUGCAUUCAGCCUAUCUCAUAUGCAUACUCAGUACAUUCCAACGUACUGACGCAUUCACGCUAUGAUUUUUUUUUAUUUUACACCAUAGGUUCAGAGACACGAGUUCCAGAUUAGUAGUAGCAGUAGCAUUCCAGUACUCAAAGUUGCAGUGAGUCCUCUUCAUUCGAGGAUGAUAUGAUUACUACUUCAUUUGUUAUUUCAGUUUUUGCUUUCGGUAGUUGGGAGUUAGUUGGAGACAUGUUCCUUCCACUCCCUACUUUAGAUAGUUAGAGGCUUUUGGAUUAGAUUACAGACUAGAUUCAGACUUCAGUAUUUCAAUUUUGUUUUUGUAUUGUGAUACCACUUAUUUCAAACAUUGUUAUUAUUCAGAUUAUGUUCAGUAUUGAACCUUAUGGCCUAUCAAUACAUGUUUUCACAUUAUUAUAUUAUAUUAUGCAGUGUUCAGGUAUAGAUAUCAGUUAUGGGUUAGCUUGUGGUCCUUCAGGAUCAUGAGCACUGUGUAGCAUUCCGAAUACCAAAUUCGGGGCGUUACAACUUUUACUCCACCUGUCCAUCUUAAUUUACCAAUUUGUGUUUAUUUUGAACAAGUUAUUAAAUGCUUCAUUAAAUAUGGAUGGAAAAAGUACAUCCUCCAUUCAGUGUAGUACUACUUACAUUUUCUUUCUCCCUUUUGGGUUUAUGAUUUUAAUGUUUUUUUGUUUUUUGUCCCUUCACACUAAACAAACAGGCCCUAACAUGCUUACCGCAACAAAAUAAACCCACUCUAAUUAAUAAUCCCCCUUUACUGAGUGGAAAAUUCGAGAAGAAACUUUAGACGUCGCAUGUUGAUGUUGGAUGUAUUUAUCCAUUCUAGCAUUACUAUUCUAGCCAUUUUUAGCCUUAUUUUGAGGAUGAUUCUUAUGCUAUAUGUAUUGAUAAUGAUAUAAAUGAGAAUUCAUAUGUCCAAAUAUGUGUUUACAAUGCUUAAUGGUCUUUUUACAUAAUUUUUGAUUCAAUUUGAGCAUUUAGAGUUCAACCGAGAAAACUAGUAUGAUUAGCUUGAGCUAGGUGUUUGUCUAAUCUAUUAUGUUGAGUUAUAAUGUGUUUUAAUGAGUUACUAAGGUUUUUAUUAUGUAUUUAUUUGUGAAAAAACUUAUUUAUAAUGUUCAUAGGUCAACUGGAUCAAAACAAGACUCAAAACAAUGAGCCUAAACUCAAUGUGCAUUUAGCCUAUGCUUAGCUCGUAUUUUGAGUUCACCGUCUUGGAUGUUGUAUUGCUUUGAGCUCUAAUUUGUGGUGUUUAAUGAUUUAGGAUGCUUGGUGAAUGGAUCAUGAUGAUAUAUGAAGGAUAUACAAGCUUCAAAUCAAGUGGAAACAACUUAAUAAGGUUCGGAAUGACUCAACGACACCAGAAUACAAAAACUGACUCCAUUUAGAUAUCUGAAAUGUAUUGGGCCAUUUUGGGCGCGUGAACAGUCCAAUUGGGUCAUGAAAAAUAUGACUGGAUUAAUAAGAGGCCCAAUUUUUAGUCCCACAAUCACGUGUAACAUUUGGUGGACUUUGAGAAGCACUGCAAUGCGAUGAAAUCUCAGUGAGAUUUUGGAAAUUGACAAUUAUCGAUUGGCUUGUCACCGCGUCGCGAUGUCCAUCAAAAGUGGGAUUUUUAUCUUCUAUAAAAGGAAAAAUGUUGAAAAAAAUUAGGGUAUCUUUGUACAUACUCUUUGGGGAAGCUUAGG